GUGAGUGAUUACUAAAUGUGUGCAUACAAAUGAAGACUUGGGAAGACGCACGUGGGGAGGAUUAAAGGGCAUAUGGAGCCUCAUACACACACGGGGCAAGCUCUGGCCAGGCUGAACCAGAAGAUGGGAGAGCUGAAGAGCCCAUGUCAAAAGAUGGAACACAAAUCACCCCCUUCCAGCACAGAUUCCAUGUGAACCUUUCUGGCGUGAGCAAGAUGCAAACCCAGAUGUAAACUCUGCUGAAGCUGGGGGAAUUAUUGACAACUGAUACUGAGGCAAUCCAAGGCCAGACCCUGACCUAUUGAUUUCCCUGGGAUUGCACGGGACCUGUGCAGUUCAUUGCAGAAUACAGUCUUUGUUUGUUUUGUUUAUUACUCAAUAUAUAACCAUGUGGAAUAAAGGACACCGCAGAACUG